rnacentral:misc_RNA from 1 species
GAUUAAGAACGCAGCGAAAUGCGAUAAGUAAUGUGAAUUGCAGAAUUCAGUGAAUCAUCGAAUCUUUGAACGCACAUUGCGCUCGCCAGUAUUCUGGCGAGCAUGCCUGUUCGAGCGUCAUUUCAACCAUCAAGCUCUGCUUGCGUUGGGGAUCCGCGUCUGACGCGGUCCCUCAAAAACAGUGGCGGGCUCGCUAGUCACACCGAGCGUAGUAACUCUACAUCGCUAUGGUCGUGCGGCGGGUUCUUGCCGUAAAACCCCCAAUUUCUAAGGUUGACCUCGGAUCAGGUAGGAAUACCCGCUGAACUUAAGCAUAUCAAUAAGCGGAGGA